CGCACUUCCAAGGAGUAGUUCUGAUAGAUCAGCUAGUUUUGAUUUUGAAAAUGAUGAAUUUUCGAAUUCAAAAGCUAGUAAAAUGAGUGAUUACUAUAAUUUAAGAGUGAAAUCAGCGAAUGAUCGACCUAAGAGUAUACUCAAACAAUCACCUCUUCAUCCGACGAAAGAAACAGAUACGCUUUUGUUGAAAAGACAAAAUUUCUCGAAAUCGAAGUUAAGGGUUUCGAUUAAUUUACCAGAUAAUGAAAUAUCUCUGAAGAAAAGUGGGCAAUUGAGGAUUUUGGGAUGUGAUAGUGAGAGGUUUUCAGGGAGUGGGAUAUGUAGAGGAAAAUCUCCGUUAAGGUCUACUGUGAGUAUGCCUCGAAUUGAUUGUCAAAGCUAUAGAAUUACGAGAAGUGUUCUUGAAGUAUUGAGAGAAUUGAAUGCGGAUAUUCUGGCUUUGCAAGAUGUUAAAGCAGAGGAAGAGAAAGGUAUGAAGCCGUUAUCGGAUUUAGCUGAUGCUUUGGGGAUGAAUUAUGUAUUUGCAGAGAGCUGGGCACCUGAAUAUGGUAACGCUAUCAUGUCAAAAUGGCCAAUCAAGUCAUGGAAUAUUCAAAAAAUCUUUGAUGACUCCGAUUUCAGAAAUGUUCUGAAGGCAACAAUUGACGUUCCUCGAGUUGGAGAAUUAAAUUUCUUCUGUACACACCUUGAUCACUUGGAUGAGAAUUGGCG
rnacentral:misc_RNA from 1 species